rnacentral:rRNA from 1 species
CCUACGGGUGGCAGCAGUGAGGAAUAUUGGUCAAUGGGCGGAAGCCUGAACCAGCCAAGUAGCGUGCAGGAUGACGGCCCUACGGGUUGUAAACUUCUUUUAUACGGGAAUAACGCGCCUUACGUGUAGGUCUUUGCAUGUACCUUAUGAAUAAGGAUCGGCUAACUCCGUGCCAGCAGCCGCGGUAAUACGGAGGGUCCGGGCGUUAUCCGGAUUUAUUGGGUUUAAAGGGAGCGUAGGUGGCAUGUUAAGUCUGCUGUGAAAGUUUCGGGCUCAACCCGGGAAUUGCCGUGGGAACUGGCGGGCUGGAGUGCGCGUGAGGUAGGCGGAAUUCGUGGUGUAGCGGUGAAAUGCUUAGAUAUGACGAAGAACCCCGAUUGCGAAGGCAGCUUGCUACAGCGGAACUGACACUGAUGCUCGAAAGCGUGGGUAUCGAACAGGAUUAGAUACCCCAGUAGUC